rnacentral:rRNA from 2 species
UAACAAGGUUUCCGUAGGUGAACCUGCGGAAGGAUCAUUGUCGA